CCUGAAUCCUCCUACGUCACCAACAGCAGCCUACCUAAAACCUGGAGGGGCACAAAACAUAAAACGUCAGUGGGCAAAAACAACUGUUUUACAAAACCACUUCAUUUCUCAAAAGUUCUAACCCCUCGCCGUAAAACAUGUAUAAUUUUCCCAGAAAUAGAAUAUAAACAUAUGCAUAAAUAUAUAUGUAAAUAUCUCAAUUCAAAUCAUGCUUCACAUAUUCAUAACCGUAAGUAUGCUAUGCCAAGAUAUAACAGAAUAAGUAAUUCAGGUGAUAAUAAAUUCAUGGAAAAUAACAUAUUAGCCGGAACCCCUGUAGAAGUCUGUACGGCUGAAUUCAUAACUCAUUAGUCAAUCUAGCCGGAGUCACUAUAAUGACCUAUAUAGCACUACACUGCAUAUAAGUCGGAACCACUAAAAAAGGUCUGUACGACAAGACUGGGUGUAAUAUAGUUAUGCUCAAUACUACGCUCUCAUGAUAGUUGGGUGAUAAAUCUCUAGUCACCUACGAGUCGAAACCACCUCUAAUGGUCUGUACGACAGGACUGUGCACCUAAAUUGGAUCCAAUGUGAGCAUAUGGUGCGGGAGGUGGCAUUAUAAAUAGGCAUGUGACAUAUAUCUGGCUAAAUCACAAUCACCCUAGGUGCAGGUUUAUGAGCUUAACUUUUCUCAAUCACAACUUUAAUCACAUUCACAAUUUAUAACUCACCUGGGCUUACCUGAGCAUCCACAGCACCACGAUUAUAUAUAUUAUGCUUCAUAUACUAAUUAACAUAUGAAAUAUAAAUUUAUAUGCAUGGCAUUCAAGGCAUACUUUCAUUUAAACACAUUUUCUGGGAAAAUAUCAAGUAUAAGUAUUUACUGAAAACCAAAAGCCCACUCACUGGUAUGUCAAAGGGUCGUAGCCCCCGAGUCGCCCUUGACUGCGCUCGUCCUCUGGAUAAGCCUCCCCUAUAUGCGAAAUAACUAUAAAAACGUUAUUUAAAGCACAUAGACAAAACUAGCUAAUAACAUCUCAUACAAUGCUCAAAUGGGGUGUUUGAAUAUACCAACGUGAUCUACGCAACUCCACGAACAUCCCCAUAUUUUUAGAAUAAUUUUCCGACCACCCACGCGCCGCCACGUGCUGGCCAAGGCACGGCCAGACGCGCCGCCCACGCGCGGGCACAUGCUUGGCACACUGACAGUGGCAAUAACGGCGUUAGGGAAUAUUCCUUUAAAAUCUGGAAUAUUCCGUCUAAAACCUGACGGUGUUACCUUACGCCGUUAGCAUAUUCCAUCAAAACUGGCGGAAUAUGCUCCUUCUUCCCUGACGAGUCACUGGACGCCGGCGACUAAUCACCGGUUUCUGGAAAAGCUUCUAACCCUAAUUUCUACCUCACUUUGGCACCAAACUUUAUGAAAUUUGAACCAUUUUGAAGAUCUCAUCAAGACGAACAAAACCAUACCUUUUACGAGCCCUAAAACCCAUGGGAUUCGCCGGAAAACUCCUCGAUAUUCCGGCCAAACCUGUAACUCGUCGAAUCUCACUAUUCCGACGUCCAAAAUCUUCCAACGAACCACUUCUAGCCUCGUGAGGACCUCUUUAAGCUACCUAUAAACUUGAAAUCACCAAAAACAUGAGAUUUUACGUUUGCAUGAAUAGUACCUCAUAUCGAAGGUUAUGGUUUCUUGGGUUUUUCAAGGUCCCAAGUCCUAAAAAUGGUAUUUAUGAACUCAGGGGCUUGCAAAGAGUUUGAAUCUUACCUUCUUGACGUCAAUCCGUGCAUGAAAUGCGAGUUUGGCGUUCAUUCGUACGUUAGGGAAGGAGAGAGAGUGAGUCCGAGGGAGAGAGAGCACGGGAGAGAAGUGAGAGGAAGAGUUUGUGUGUGUGUGAGUGGUCCACGUGGUCACCAACCAAAACCACAAAACCAAUUUCAAACUUUGUUCCAAAAAUUAAGGAAAAUGCAAGUUUGGACCACCAUUUACAUGCAUAACACACCACAACGCUCACAUCCAAGGGUAAAAUAGUCAAUUCACGUCAUCGAUAAUUUAUUUCGGGACGGGCUGUGACAAUCUACCCACCUUAUAAAAUUUCAUCCUCGAAAUUACACGCAACCAAUACAUCCACUAAUAGUCAUAAAACAAGCGUGGAUACAUCUCUCUCAUUCGAUCCUCUGUCUCCCAGGUAGCUUCUUCUACUGAGUGAUUUCUCCAUAAUACUUUCACCAAAUGACUGUCUUAUUCCUCAGCUCCUUAUCUUUCCAAUCCAAAAUAGUCACUGGUUCCUCGUCAUAAGUCAAAUCCAAAUUAAAAUCCAAAUUAAUUUCCAAAGGUUGAGGAGGAAUCACAUGUGAAGGAUCUGAGACAUAAUGUCGAAGCAUCGAAACAUGAAACACAUCGUGUACCUUGGACAACUCUGAAGGCAACUCAAGCCUGUAAGCAACCUCACCGACUUGCUCGGUGAUCAUAUAUGGUCCAAUGUACCUAAGAUUCAACUUGUCUUUCUUUCCAAAUCGUACAACACCUUUCCAAGGUGAUAGCUUCAAAAAUACCCAAUCACCUACAUUAUACCUCCGGUCAGUGACAUGCUUGUCUGCUAAGCUCUUUUGUCGAUCCUGGGCCGCUUUCAGGUUAGACUUAAUUACCUGAACAUUUUGAGUAGUCUUGUCCACAAUAUCAGGGCCCACUAAAACUCUUUCGCCAACCUCUGACCAACAUAGAGGCUUACGACAAGAUUUCCUAUAAAGUGCUUCAAAUGGUGCCAUACCAAUGCUCGAAUGGUAACUGUUGUUGUAGGCGAACUCCAUCAAAUCCAAACAAUCAUGCCAACCAUCGCCAAACUGAAGUACUGAAGAUCUCAGCAUAUCCUCUGUCUGAAUGGUCCUCUCAGAUUGCCUAUCUGUCUGAGGAUGAUAUGUUGUACUAUAAAGUAAUCUCAUAUCAAGAGCCUCCUGAAAUGCUACCCAUAACUUGGAAGUAAAUCUAAGGUCCCGAUCCGAGAUAAUAUUAACUGGAACACCAUGGUACUUCACAAUCUUCGAUAUGAAUAACUUAGCUAAUCGGGUUAAUGAAUAUUUCUCCCUCACUGGAAUAAAAUAUGCUGACUUAGUAAGCCGAUCAACUAUCACCCAAAUGCCGUCAUAACCAUUAUGUGUACGAGGAAGCUUGUACACAAAAUCCAUAGUAAUAUUUUCCCACUUCCACUGUGGAAUGGGAAGCGGCUGCAUCAAUCCAAACAGCUUCUUCCUUUCAGCUUUAACCUAUUGGCAAAUGGCACACCUACUCACAUAUUCGGCAAUUUCUCUUUUCAUACCCGGCCAAUAAUAAAAUGGUCGAAUGGUAUGAUACAUCUUGGUGCCUCCUGGAUGCAUUACAUAUGCUGAAAUAUGUACUUCAUCAAGGAUUUCUUUCUUUAACUCUGCGUUAUUCGGCACAUACAUUCUGCUCUCCUGCAUAAGCAUACCAUCAGUUUCUCGAAUCCUGAAAUCUUUCUUCUUCCCUUGAUUCCUGGCUUGAAUUAUUUCCUGGGCCUCUUCAUCAUUCAUUUGGGCCUCGAGCACACGAUCAAUUAAAAUUGGCCUAACUUGAAAAUUUGCAAGCAAGGCUUCCUCUCAAUCUUCCACUCCUAACUCCACUCUAGUGGACCUCAAAUCCGCAAGAAGAGGAACAUGACAAUCAUAGAUGGCAUUAAGUCUAGCUGGAGUAUUCCUACUAAGUGCAUCUGCCACUGCAUUUGGACGACCAGGGUGAUACUCAAUCGUGCAAUCAUAAUCACUAAGUAACUCUAUCCACCUCCGCUGCCGAAGAUUAAGAUCCCUUUGAGUAAAAAGAUACUGAAGACUCUUAUGAUCUGUGAAGAUCUUACAUUUCUCACCGUAAAGAUAAUGUCUCCAAAUCUUCAACACAAAGAUGAUAGCUGCUAACUCCAAAUCAUGAGUAGGGUAGUUUUUCUCACGAAGUUUCAAUUGUCUCGAAGCAUAAGCAAUCACCCUACCAUGUUGCAUCAAUACACAACCCAGACCAUUUAAAGAAGCAUCGCUGUAAACCUCAAAAUUACCACUAUCAUCUGGGAGUGCUAACAUAAGUGCAUGAGUGAGAUAAUAUUUCAACUGCUGAAAACUUUACUCACAAUUAUCAUCCCAUACAAACUUAACAUCCUUCCGGGUCAACCUCGUCAAUGGCAAAGCAAUCACUAAAAAAUCCUUAACGAACCGUCUAUAAUAGCCUACUAGGCCAAGAAAACUUCGUACCUCGGUGACGGUUAGAGGUUGCUCCCAAUUCUCCACAGUUGCCACUUUUUGAGAAUCCACUUGAAUGCCUUGAGCAGAAAUGACAUGUCCCAAAAAUGCCACUUGAUCCAACCAAAAUUGACAUUUGCUAAACUUCGCAUAUAAUUGGUGUUCUCUCAAACUUUUCAACACCAAUUUAAGAUGUCUAGCAUGCUCAACCUUAGACUUAGAGUAUACCAGAAUAUCGUCAAUGAAGACAAUAACAAACCUGUCCAAAUAUGGCUGGAAUACUCGAUUCAUCAAAUCCAUAAAAGCUGCUGGUGCAUUAGUUAAUCCGAAUGGCAUCACGAAACUCAUAAUGACCAUAUCGAGUCCUGAAUGCAGUCUCAGGGACAUCUUCAUUUCUAAUCUUCAACUGGUAGUAACCCGAUCGCAAAUCAAUCUUAGAAAAUACACAGGCACCUCGGAGUUGAUCAAAUAAAUCAUCUAUACGAGGCAAUGGAUAACGGUUUUUAAUUGUUACCCUAUUUAAUUGCCUAUAAUUAAUGCAUAACCUCAAGGUUCCGUCUUUCUUCCUCACAAAUAAAACUGGAGCUCCCUAAGGUGAAGUACUAGGCUGAAUAAAACCUUUAUCCACUAGUUCUUGCAAUUAAACUUUCAAUUCCCUUAAUUCAGCAGAAGCCAUUCUAUAAGGAGUCAAAGAUGUAGGAUUCGUACCUAGAAGUAGAUCAAUAACGAACUCCACAUCUCUAUCUAGCGGUAAUCCAGGCAAAUCCUCAGGGAAUACAUCCAGAAAAUACCUAACCACACGUACAUCCUCCACACUACUAGGAGCAUCAUCAUUCAACACCACAUGAGCCAAAUAUCCCUGACAACCUUUCGACAACAAUCUUUUGGUUUUCAUGGCAGAAAUAACACCAUGCUUCACCCCACUAGGCUCUCCUACAAAUGUAACUUCAGGUUAUCCAGGACAAUGAAAUGUGAUUGUCUUUGCAUAACAACCUAUCUUGGCACGAUUAUAGUGCAACCAAUCAGUGCCCAAAAUCACAUCAAAAUCCAUAAUAUCCAACGGCAUAAGAUUAGAUGGCAUAACAACUUCCUCCACCAUCACUGGACAUCCUGGAUAUACCCGAUCCACAAAACAUUUAUCCCCUCUGGGCAUAGAAAAUUCAAAAUUAUAUCCUCAAAGUGUAGGAUGAGGUUGCAUCACUUGAGCAAAUGUAUGAGAAAUAACAGAAUGUGUAAUACCACAAUCAAUCAAUACUCUGGCAAAAUGACCAAGAAUAUUUAACGUACCCAUGAUUAAAUCACGAUUGUUUUGAGCAUCUUGCAUUGUCAUGUUAUGGAUACGUCCCUAAUUCUGCUAUCAUCCACCACAACCUCUGUUAGCAUGAACACCACGUCCUUGCCUUGGCUGACCAGACUUCCUCGAAGAUCCUACACUGCUAGCAGCAAUCUCUACCUGCUGGGGCUAUCUCCCUUGAUACCACUGGGAUCCUCCGGCUGAAUGUGGCUGAUAGGGCAUAGAACCUCCCUGAUACUGAGGGUAACCACCCUGAUAAUGAGGAUCCUGAGAGUACUGAUACUGUCCUGAAGUAUAAGGAGCGACGUUGCCCUGAUAAUGAUAAGCAUCUCCUCGUCCAGUCUGGGCAUAACUACUAGAUCCUAAAGCUUGUUGGUUCGACACAGGUGGUGGUAAAGAAGGUUGUUGGGGCCUCUGCUGAUUCUGCAAGCAAUGAGCAGCUCUAUGCCCCAUUUGUCCAUAAGUAUAACAUGCAUUGCUGCCUCUUUUACACUCCCCAUAGUGCCUAUUAUUACACUUGCGGCAUAAAGGAGCACCUGAUCCACCUGAACCAGCAAAAUCUCUCUGCCUCUAAAAUCUCUGGCCUCCAGAAAAUCUACCACCUCUCAUCUGUAGAUUAGAGCUCAAACCUCCAUUAGAAAAGCUGGAACUGCCACCGCUUCUCUUAAAACUCUGGGUCUUACGAGGUCCCUGAAAUGAUUGACCUUUACCUUUAUCAUCUCGUCUCUGGUUCCCGUUCUUUUCUUCUUCAUCUUCACUUUCACUUGGCAUGUUCUCUGAGUCCUCAAUCCUCAGUAAAACUUCAUAAAACUCCUGGUAAGUGACACAGGGAGUCGAUGUCGCUAUAGAACGCCAUUUCUUCUUAGUACCCAACCUGAAGCGACGAAGCAUCUCGACCAGAUUAGCAAUAACCUCUGGAUCGUAUCGAGACAAAUCAGUGAACUUCCAAUAAUAUUCAUUCACCAACAUCUUUCCUUGUUUCCAAUGGGUAAACUCUUGUUUCUUGCGAUCAAUGUACUCAGGAGGAAUGAACCUUUUCCAAAACAACUGCUUAAACACUUCCCAAUCCUCUACAACAUCUGGUGUCAUUUGAUAUGACUCAUGUCUCCACCAAGAUGCAGGUACCGGACCCAGAAACUAGGUAGUCAUCUCGACCCACCUAUCAGAAGGAAGAUUCCCCUGACUCUGCAUCACAAAGUCUUCUCGACAUAAUUAAGCCACUUCUCCACUCCCUCAUGUCCUUUAUUUCCUAUGAAGUGAUUCAGCUUCAGAUUAUGCACAGUCUCAAGAGGUGUCCUUUAAGGAGGACGAAGCGAAUACUGAAUGGCAUUAGCAAUAGCUUCCCCUAAUUAAGCAAUAUCAGGGAACUAGGCUCAACUGAGUGACGGGGCUCUCUACGAGGCAGCAUAAUUCUGACAGAAGACAUCACAAGAAUUAGAAUAUUCAUGAACCAUACAGGACUGCUAAACCUAGCCUCUGAUACCAAACUGACACACCCCGAUCGGAAUCGAAGCAUGCUGGCCGUCACAUGAGGGUGAUGUAACCAUGUGCACAGUGCGGAAGCAAUAAAGAUAAGAGUUAUACGAAUAAAUAAAAACCGAAAGCUACUAAAGUGCACAAAAUAACCGGAAGUGCUAAGAGUGGAAUACAAGUGUAAAUACACCUAAUCAGAACAUAGAAAGUCUAGGUGCAGUCCAGUAGGACAAGUACUAGUCAUACAGUACCAAAUGUUUUACAAAACCACUUCAUUUCUCAAAAGUUCUAACCCCUCGCCGUAAAACAUGUAUAAUUUUCCCAGAAAUAGAAUAUAAACAUAUGCAUAAAUAUAUAUAUAUAUGUAAAUAUCUCAAUUCAAAUCAUGCUUCACAUAUUCAUAACCGUAAGUAUGCCAUGCCAAGAUAUAACAGAAUAAGUAAUUCAGGUGAGAAUAAAUUCAUGGAAAAUAACAUAUUAGCCGGAACCCUGUAGAAGUCUGUACGGCUGAAUU
rnacentral:lncRNA from 1 species